rnacentral:sRNA from 1 species
AACUUCUGUGGCUAACGCACGUGUCUUCUUCCUUGAAAAAGUCGCUGUAGUUUUUCUGAUCCUGCUGUCACGCACUCUCCGCAGGACAGACAUAGUUUCCUCUUUGAUCGUACCAAGCAUUGGGUAGCUUGCUCUUACCUAUAGAUAUCUAUCUAGGUUAGCAAAUGCCAUAAACACUGCACUGCCUCGUCAAAACAGGAUUUCACUCAAUCGGUCCUUCAAGGGAUGAAGUUGAAACAAGAUAAUAUUCUCAGCUCUCGGAGACGCGGUAAUCGUAUUGCUCUAACUCGCUUCCGCGUUCGCUCCGCCACCGCCUUCAAUUCUGCCCUUCCAAUCAGUUGUUUUAUUUAAGCUGGCAACAACCAACGAAGGAUCCUGCUUCAAUAUACACGGGCCAAAUCUAUGGCGGAGAAACAGAAUCCGCAAUUUACUCCAAUAUCCAUACAUGCGCUUGUCAGCUCGCCUUUUCUCGGCUGCUGGAGAGCCGCCACGCAGACUCAGAAGGCAGACUGUCAGCCUUGAACAUGUAAAUUUAUCUAUUUGCUACGCUCCACUGAAUAUCAUAUCCAAACUGAAAACCGGAGACUCCUAGGUUCCGCUAACUAGAGCCCAAUUCCAAACAUGCAUAGUUCGUUCAACAAAAGCGAGCGCUCGGCCUCUGGCGUGAGAUCGUGCGAGCUACGAAUAGGAUUCCCCAAUCCAGCGCAAGGGAUGAAAUGCGAUCUUUUGCCCGUCACGAAUUUGAGCGGAAUAAGGGGGUUACAGAUCUGGCGCAUAUUAGGUACCUGAUCUCGACGGGAAAAACGGAGUUUGAUGCCAUGCGACGAUAUAUCGAUGAGUUAGCGGCAUGACCGCUGGGUUUGAAUAUAUCCCAUCAUCCACACCAAAUCAACCGCGCGAGUAUCGAAACAUCUUCGUGGGUAAAAGGGCGGAGUCACCCAGUGUACUGAACUAUUUUGACACAAUAUGUGUAUUUAAUAUAUAGCUCUGAUCUGGGUAUAGAUGCCUAGGGACUCAGAAGGAAGAUGCACGGAAGGAAAUACGAUUGAUAAUAGAAUACUGUGAUAGUAAUCAUAGAAAGCAAAG